UCGUUGGUGGGGCACACGGGUUGUGUCCGGGGGUUCCCUCCGAUUGCUCCCCGGGUGGUGAGCAGAGCGAGGAGUAACGUCCGCAUCGGCGGACGUUACGGAGCCGUUUAGACGCCGCGCUCUUAUGCCGGCAGAAUUUGGAGCAUGCGCACAGCGGUGGAAUGCACGCCAGAGGGCGCUGCGUUCCACCAAGAGUACUGACACGCUAUUGAGCAUGCGUGAUUCAGUUUCUCUUGUUCAGGGCGCGAAAACUAACUGGUUUUCGCAUAUAUAUAGCUGUGCUGCCCAGUCUGACAGCAGAGGAGCUUGUCAACACUGGGAUUUCCGUGUCACCAGCCCCCCCCACACGGAUUGAGGAGUUGUAAGAUGUCUGGUCCGGUUUCACCAGAUAAGCCGGAUAAAGAGAAAUCCUUUACACCUGCUCCAAAAAAGGCUGUGGUUAAAACCAAACAUUUAUCGUGCACUGAAUGUGCCACUCCGUUGCCGGAUGGUUGUAAGAAGAAA